AUUGAACGCUGGCGGCAGGCCUAACACAUGCAAGUCGAACGAGUGGCGGACGGGUGAGUAAUGUCUGGGCAACUGCCUGAUGGAGGGGGAUAACUACUGGAAACUGUAGCUAAUACCGCAUACCAUCAGAUUUGCCCAGAUGGGAUUAGCUAGUGGGUGGGGUAACGGCUCACCAAGGCGACGAUCCCUACCUGGUCUGAGAGGAUGACCAGCCAGACGGGAACGGAGACACGGUCCAGACUCCGACGGGAGGAAGCAGGGGGGAAUAUGGCACAAGGGGCGAAAGCCGGAUGCAGCCAUGCCGCGUGUAUGAAGAAGGCCUUAGGGUUGUAAAGUACUUUAAGCGGGGAGGCGUUACCCGCAGAAGAAGCACCGGCUAACUCCGUGCCAGCAGCCGCGGUAAUAC
rnacentral:rRNA from 1 species